rnacentral:rRNA from 1 species
GAUGAACGCUGGCGGCGUGCUUAAUACAUGCAAGUCGAACGAGAAGUGAAGACGGAACCCUUCGGGCGGAAGGCUUUAUUUCGAGUGGCGGACGGGUGAGUAACGCGUGGGUAACCUGCCUCAUACAGGGGGAUAACAGUUGGAAACGACUGUUAAUACCGCAUCAGACCACAGCACCGCAUGGUGCGGGGGUAAAAACUCCGGUGGUAUGAGAUGGACCCGCGUUCGAUUAGCCAGUUGGCGGGGUAACGGCCCACCAAAGAGACGAUCGCUAGACGAUCUGAGAGGAUGACCGGCCACAUUGGGAAUGAGCAACGGCCCAAAGUCCUGCGGGAGGCAGCAGUGGGGAAUAUUGCAAGAUGGGGGAAACACUGCGGCAGCCACGUCGCGUGAGUGAAGAAGUAUUUGGGUAUGUAAAGCUCUAUAAGCAGGGAAGAAAAUGACGGUACCUGAGUAAGAAGCCCCGGCUAACUACGUG